rnacentral:miRNA from 1 species
GGUGGGAUUUUUCUCAGUAGGGUAGUAGGAGAUGGGUGAUUGAUUUACCAUCCCCAUUGAGUCAAUCACCCAUCUCCUACUACCCUACUGAGAAAAAACCCACC